rnacentral:rRNA from 1 species
UCCACACCGUAAACGAUGAAUGCCAGUCGUCGGGUUGCAUGCAAUUCGGUGACACACCUAACGGAUUAAGCAUUCCGCCUGGGGAGUACGGUCGCAAGAUUAAAACUCAAAGGAAUUGACGGGGGCCCGCACAAGCGGUGGAGCAUGUGGUUUAAUCCGAAGCAACGCGCAGAACCUUACCAACCCUUGACAUCCUGUGACAACUGGAGAGAUCCAGCGUUCCGUAGGGACACAGUGACAGGUGCUGCAUGGCUGUCGUCAGCUCGUGUCGUGAGAUUGGUUCGGUUAAGUCCGGCAACGAGCGCCAACCCAAUUCUUUAG